rnacentral:misc_RNA from 1 species
GGAUGGAUCAUUAGUGAAUGUGCGGCAAGGCGCAAGCCUGAGCCUGCCAAUCCACCCUUGUGCAAUGUACCGUACCCUGGUGGGCGGCUUUUCGGCCUAGCCGAUAGCCUCCACCGAAGGGCUUUCGAGCCCGACCAACGCUUUAAUCUCUGUCUGAACUUAAAGAACCAAAUGAUCUAAACAACUUUUGACAACGGAUCUCUUGGCUCUCGCAACGAUGAAGAACGCAGCGAAAUGCGAUACGUAAUGUGAAUUGCAGAAUUCCGUGAAUCAUCGAAUCUUUGAACGCAUCUUGCGCUUCUUGGUAUUCCAGGAAGCAUGCCUGUUUGAGUCUCAGUUGACUCUCUGACCGCUUCGGCGGCCAGGAUCUGAGCGGACCAGCGGUUAACCGCUCGCCGCUCUAAACGCAUGCAGCCGGCCUCUAGAGUGUUGGACUCGGAAUGGCUUGAUAAUGUCUUUGACUUAUUAGUUAUCCGGAUUCAGCGUCUCCUUAGGCCAAGGCGCCAGAUUGUUUGUGCCUGCGAAAGCGGACUCACACUCGACACCUUGAGCUCAAAUCAGGCAAGACUACCCGCUGAACUUAAGCAUAUCAAUAAGCGGAGGAAAAGAAACUAACAAGGAUUCCCCUAGUAACGGCGAGUGAAGCGGGAACAGCUCAACUUUUAAAUCUGGGCGGUCUCCGCCCCGAGUUGUAGUUUGAAGAAUCGCUUUCGGCGACAUACCCGGCCCAAGUUCCCUGGAACAGGACGCCAUAGAGGGUGAGAGCCCCGUGCGGCCGCGGUAUGUCUAAUGUGAUGCGUAUUCCAAGAGUCGGGUUGUUUGGGAAUGCAGCCCUAAACGGGAGGUAAAUUUCUUCCAAGGCUAAAUACCGGCGAGAGACCGAUAGCGAACAAGUACCGUGAGGGAAAGAUGAAAAGCACUUUGAAAAGAGAGUUAAACAGCACGUGAAAUUGUCAAAAGGGAACCGCUUGAAACCAGUGUUGCCUCCUGCCUUCAGCCGACUCCGGUCGGUGUAUUUGGCAGCGGCAGGUCAACGUCGGUUUGGGGUGCCGUAGAUGGGCGCGAGCAAGGUAGCUGUUUCGGCAGUGUUAUAGGCUCACGCCAGCACGGUGUCCUGGACCGAGGACUGCAGGGCAGUGCCAGGGUUAUAUGGGGAGUUGGGUAGCACCAGUGCGCGACUGCAUGCAGACGCGCGCUGUCGGCCGCCUCCCUGUCUAUGUAACCUCUUCUGCCCUUGGGACGUUGGCGAAAUGGUUUUAAACGACCCGUCUUGAAACACGGACCAAGGAGUCUAACAUAUAUGCGAGUAUUUGGGUGGCAAACCCAUAUGCGCAAUGAAAGUGAUGCAGGUGCGAUCCGCAAGGAGCAGCAUCGACCGGUCUGGAUAUUUUUUGAUAGAUCUGAGUAGGAGCAUAUCUGUUGGGACCCGAAAGAUGGUGAACUAUGCCUGAAUAGGGUGAAGCCAGAGGAAACUCUGGUGGAGGCUCGUAGCGGUUCUGACGUGCAAAUCGAUCGUCAAAUUUGGGUAUAGGGGCGAAAGACUAAUCGAACCAUCUAGUAGCUGGUUUCCUC